CCUAUUUGAAAAUUAUUCAAUUCGCGUAAAUAAUUCAUGUUGUUAGUGGUGAGAAAUGUUGCAAAUGAUAUUGCCACAUAAUUUUCGGUAUCGCGUGUGGUAAGUUUCACCCACAUGGUAAGUUUCGCAACAAGCAGCAGCGUCGUUUGAAGCAACAAAUUUUAUGAUGUUUUCUCAAAAUACAAUUGGUAAUUUCUACUUUAUUUCUUCCAACGAGGAAAUGUUAAAAACGAUUCGUGAGGAAAUCAUUAAGAAUGGGUCAUCAAAAAACGUGCCCCGCCCCCCGGAUUCCGCGGAUGCAUCGGCUCCAGAAGUGGCCAAAAAGAGGCAAGAAGUGGCCAAAAAGAGGCAAGAAGUGGCCAAAAAGAGGCCAGAAGUUUCGCCGGAGAGGAUCGCGGUAACUCCUCGGAGGUCGCCCAGUCCCCUUGGAGAAUUAAGUAAUGUAAUGAGUCCUUUGCCGAAUCUUCCGAGCCCCCCCCGUGCAGUGGAGGAUAAUUUAAUUAAUUUAUCGGCCACGCCUCCUCGCAAAAGAAGGAGGUUCCACCCCACAAUUUUUUGGAAGCCGGAAUCGCACAAGGACGGCAGUGGUCGAGAGUGGACCACAUUAAAAUAUCAAUGCGAAAUUUGUUUUAAAAUUUGCCAAAAACCGAAGGCAUAUGAGAACCACAUAAUGUUGUGCAAAAAUGAUUGCAAAACAGUGGCUUGCAAGUGGUGCCCCUAUGUCCAAAAGUCCUCCAAUUUGGGAAAUCACUGGAAGAGGUGCAUAGGGGGGGAAAAAAUUGUAUAUCCCCAUUGGGGAACAAUUGAAGCAGCGGAAAAUGUGGUCCGAAAUGAAGGACACGUCGUCUUCAAUUCCAUUGAUGAAGACUUUUGAAAAAAUAUUGCCCACGGAGAAGUUACUUCCUUUCGUGUUUUAUUUUACCUCUCGCUGAAAACCCGAUCCAGCUUUCACAUAAUCCUGCCCAGCUUCGACAUUAAUCUUGUCCAGCUUCGACAUUAAUCUUGUCCAAGCUUCGACAUAAUCUUGUCCAGCUUACAACAACUAUUUUACAGAAUUUCCCUGGUUAUUAUUAUCUGCAUAUACAUACAUAUAUUAUCUGUACAUAUAUAUAUAUAUAUAUAUAUAUAUAUUUUGAUUUUCGUUUUAGUGUUGAAAAUUUCUCAAAUUAAGCUGCUGGAAA